GACGAACGCUGGCGGCGUGCUUAACACAUGCAAGUCGAACGUGAUUUUUAUGGAAAGCCCUUCGGGGACGGAAAUGAAAUGAAAGUGGCGAACGGGUGAGUAACACGUGAGCAACCUACCUUACACAGGGGGAUAGCCGUUGGAAACGACGAUUAAUACCGCAUGAGACCACAAAGCCACAUGGCUUAGGGGUAAAAGAUUUAUCGGUGUAAGAUGGGCUCGCGUCUGAUUAGCUAGUUGGAAGGGUAAAGGCCUACCAAGGCGACGAUCAGUAGCCGGUCUGAGAGGAUGAACGGCCACAUUGGAACUGAGACACGGUCCAAACUCCUACGGGAGGCAGCAGUGGGGAAUAUUGCACAAUGGGGGGAACCCUGAUGCAGCGACGCCGCGUGAGCGAAGAAGGUUUUCGAAUCGUAAAGCUCUGUCCUAUGAGAAGAUAAUGACGGAUCAUAGAG
rnacentral:rRNA from 1 species